rnacentral:tRNA from 1 species
GGGGGUAUAGAUCAGUGGUAGAGCAUUUGACUGCAGAUCAAGAGGUCUCCAGUUCAAAUCUGGGUGCCCCCU